rnacentral:tRNA from 1 species
GCCAGUGUGGUGUAGUGGUUUGAGCGUUGGACUAUGACUAGGGAGAUCAGGGUUCGAAUCCCAGCUCAGCCA